rnacentral:misc_RNA from 1 species
UUUUAAUUUUCUUCUUUUUUUUUUUUUUUAGAUGAACACACAAACCAGUAACUUCAUUUUGUCUUCUAGUGUGACAAAAGAUUACAGAAGAAAUUGCAACAUAGUGCAAUCAUAAAGCAAUAAAAAAUAGGAGAAAGAGAUGUUGGCAUUCUCGGAUGAUAAUCCAAGUAUAAAAACUCUCAUUCAAUCACUUGUCGAGUAAUUUGUCUUUUUUGCAAAUAAGGUCCACAUCUCACAUCUAGACUGUGAAACCUCGAUGCAAUUCAUUAUUGUAGGGUGAUUACAUUAAGACUAAUGAUACAAGUAUGAUGGCCGUAGGGUUUAAAUGCAUGAACAUGGUUUAGAAACAUGUAUUUUAUGUCUUCUUCACCAAGAGAGAGAGAGAGAGAGAG